rnacentral:rRNA from 1 species
UUAAGCGACUAAGCGUACACGGUGGAUGCCCUGGCAGUCAGAGGCGAUGAAGGACGUGCUAAUCUGCGAUAAGCGUCGGUAAGGUGAUAUGAACCGUUAUAACCGGCGAUUUCCGAAUGGGGAAACCCAGUGUGAUUCGUCACACUAUCAUUAACUGAAUCCAUAGGUUAAUGAGGCGAACCGGGGGAACUGAAACAUCUAAGUACCCCGAGGAAAAGAAAUCAACCGAGAUUCCCCCAGUAGCGGCGAGCGAACGGGGAGCAGCCCAGAGUCUGAAUCAGUGUGUGUGUUAGUGGAAGCGUCUGGAAAGGCGCGCGAUACAGGGUGACAGCCCCGUACACAAAAAUGCACAUACUGUGAGCUCGAUGAGUAGGGCGGGACACGUGGUAUCCUGUCUGAAUAUGGGGGGACCAUCCUCCAAGGCUAAAUACUCCUGACUGACCGAUAGUGAACCAGUACCGUGAGGGAAAGGCGAAAAGAACCCCGGCGAGGGGAGUGAAAAAGAACCUGAAACCGUGUACGUACAAGCAGUGGGAGCACGCUUAGGCGUGUGACUGCGUACCUUUUGUAUAAUGGGUCAGCGACUUAUAUUCUGUAGCAAGGUUAACCGAAUAGGGGAGCCGAAGGGAAACCGAGUCUUAACUGGGCGUUAAGUUGCAGGGUAUAGACCCGAAACCCGGUGAUCUAGCCAUGGGCAGGUUGAAGGUUGGGUAACACUAACUGGAGGACCGAACCGACUAAUGUUGAAAAAUUAGCGGAUGACUUGUGGCUGGGGGUGAAAGGCCAAUCAAACCGGGAGAUAGCUGGUUCUCCCCGAAAGCUAUUUAGGUAGCGCCUCGUGAAUUCAUCUCCGGGGGUAGAGCACUGUUUCGGCAAGGGGGUCAUCCCGACUUACCAACCCGAUGCAAACUGCGAAUACCGGAGAAUGUUAUCACGGGAGACACACGGCGGGUGCUAACGUCCGUCGUGAAGAGGGAAACAACCCAGACCGCCAGCUAAGGUCCCAAAGUCAUGGUUAAGUGGGAAACGAUGUGGGAAGGCCCAGACAGCCAGGAUGUUGGCUUAGAAGCAGCCAUCAUUUAAAGAAAGCGUAAUAGCUCACUGGUCGAGUCGGCCUGCGCGGAAGAUGUAACGGGGCUAAACCAUGCACCGAAGCUGCGGCAGCGACGCUUAUGCGUUGUUGGGUAGGGGAGCGUUCUGUAAGCCUGCGAAGGUGUGCUGUGAGGCAUGCUGGAGGUAUCAGAAGUGCGAAUGCUGACAUAAGUAACGAUAAAGCGGGUGAAAAGCCCGCUCGCCGGAAGACCAAGGGUUCCUGUCCAACGUUAAUCGGGGCAGGGUGAGUCGACCCCUAAGGCGAGGCCGAAAGGCGUAGUCGAUGGGAAACAGGUUAAUAUUCCUGUACUUGGUGUUACUGCGAAGGGGGGACGGAGAAGGCUAUGUUGGCCGGGCGACGGUUGUCCCGGUUUAAGCGUGUAGGCUGGUUUUCCAGGCAAAUCCGGAAAAUCAAGGCUGAGGCGUGAUGACGAGGCACUACGGUGCUGAAGCAACAAAUGCCCUGCUUCCAGGAAAAGCCUCUAAGCAUCAGGUAACAUCAAAUCGUACCCCAAACCGACACAGGUGGUCAGGUAGAGAAUACCAAGGCGCUUGAGAGAACUCGGGUGAAGGAACUAGGCAAAAUGGUGCCGUAACUUCGGGAGAAGGCACGCUGAUAUGUAGGUGAGGUCCCUCGCGGAUGGAGCUGAAAUCAGUCGAAGAUACCAGCUGGCUGCAACUGUUUAUUAAAAACACAGCACUGUGCAAACACGAAAGUGGACGUAUACGGUGUGACGCCUGCCCGGUGCCGGAAGGUUAAUUGAUGGGGUUAGCGCAAGCGAAGCUCUUGAUCGAAGCCCCGGUAAACGGCGGCCGUAACUAUAACGGUCCUAAGGUAGCGAAAUUCCUUGUCGGGUAAGUUCCGACCUGCACGAAUGGCGUAAUGAUGGCCAGGCUGUCUCCACCCGAGACUCAGUGAAAUUGAACUCGCUGUGAAGAUGCAGUGUACCCGCGGCAAGACGGAAAGACCCCGUGAACCUUUACUAUAGCUUGACACUGAACAUUGAGCCUUGAUGUGUAGGAUAGGUGGGAGGCUUUGAAGUGUGGACGCCAGUCUGCAUGGAGCCGACCUUGAAAUACCACCCUUUAAUGUUUGAUGUUCUAACGUUGACCCGUAAUCCGGGUUGCGGACAGUGUCUGGUGGGUAGUUUGACUGGGGCGGUCUCCUCCUAAAGAGUAACGGAGGAGCACGAAGGUUGGCUAAUCCUGGUCGGACAUCAGGAGGUUAGUGCAAUGGCAUAAGCCAGCUUGACUGCGAGCGUGACGGCGCGAGCAGGUGCGAAAGCAGGUCAUAGUGAUCCGGUGGUUCUGAAUGGAAGGGCCAUCGCUCAACGGAUAAAAGGUACUCCGGGGAUAACAGGCUGAUACCGCCCAAGAGUUCAUAUCGACGGCGGUGUUUGGCACCUCGAUGUCGGCUCAUCACAUCCUGGGGCUGAAGUAGGUCCCAAGGGUAUGGCUGUUCGCCAUUUAAAGUGGUACGCGAGCUGGGUUUAGAACGUCGUGAGACAGUUCGGUCCCUAUCUGCCGUGGGCGCUGGAGAACUGAGGGGGGCUGCUCCUAGUACGAGAGGACCGGAGUGGACGCAUCACUGGUGUUCGGGUUGUCAUGCCAAUGGCACUGCCCGGUAGCUAAAUGCGGAAGAGAUAAGUGCUGAAAGCAUCUAAGCACGAAACUUGCCCCGAGAUGAGUUCUCCCUGACCCUUUAAGGGUCCUGAAGGAACGUUGAAGACGACGACGUUGAUAGGCCGGGUGUGUAAGCGCAGCGAUGCGUUGAGCUAACCGGUACUAAUGAACCGUGAGGCUUAACCUU